AUACGUAGGGUGCAAGCGUUAAUCGGAAUUACUGGGCGUAAAGCGUGCGCAGGCGGUUUUGUAAGACAGUGGUGAAAUCCCCGGGCUCAACCUGGGAACUGCCAUUGUGACUGCAAGGCUGGAGUGCGGCAGAGGGGGAUGGCAUUCCGCGUGUAGCAGUGAAAUGCGUAGAUAUGCGGAGGAACACCGAUGGCGAAGGCAAUCCCCUGGGCCUGCACUGACGCUCAUGCACGAAAGCGUGGGGAGCAAACAGGAUUAGAUACCCUGGUAGUCCACGCCCUAAACGAUGUCAACUGGUUGUUGGGGAUUUAUUUUCUCAGUAACGAAGCUAACGCGUGAAGUUGACCGCCUGGGGAGUACGGCCGCAAGGUUAAAACUCAAAUGAAUUGACGGGG
rnacentral:rRNA from 1 species